UUCAGGUCACAGCAUCAACUCCUCUCCCUGCAAUCGAGUCUUCAGAAGGAAUUACCAGGACCGCUUCUUUGCCGUCAGGUUCGGAACCCGUGUCUCCUGUAGCUCAAUCACCUUAGAGCAGAUCCACCUAAGGUUGUCCGUUCGUCUACAGCCAUAUCAGCAUCAGGACUGAGUAUGCUAGCUGGAACUACAUCAAUACCUAAAAGGGUAAGAGCAUCUCUUUGCAUUUUGUUUGUUAAUCUUCUUAUGGUCUGUUGACACUUUCCACUUGAAGAAGAUGGUGCGAUCUGCCUAAUGAUUGUUGUACAGGGUGAUUUGACACGCCGCCUGAAAGUACUAGUUGUGAAUAUUGGAUAUCUGUAGCAUUACAUUUUGAACCUUAAUUUUGGUCUGCUAACUCUAGCUUGCUUUUCCAUGUUCAUCAGAAUGUGGUGAAUUUUUGUAAUAAAAAACAUGUCGCUCCUUGAGUGACAGCUUUUAUGGGCUGUAGAAAAGAAUGACUUUAAAGAAAAUGUACUUUGUGGAUGUUCUAUAUGUCAUGGAACUUUGACCCUGCCAUUUUUUUGACAUGGUAUCUUGGAGUGUCUAUUUUGUACAUAUAAUAUAUUGUACGAUUCUAUAGCUGUUAUUAGUAAUUCUGUUAUAGAGUAUCUUGGUGUAUUCGACGGCGGUUUUUGAAAUCCUAUUGAGAAUAUUUUUCAAGGAACUCGAGGCGAAUGUCUUGGUUUCGAAGAAGCAGAAAGUGAAGUAAGUUGUCUAACCAUUUGAUCUGUCUUGGUUUGCUUGACUCUAAUUGUGUAGCUUUUGCAUCAAUUCAUUUGGAUCCAAUGUUGCCUCGUGUAAAGAAUAAACCAUGUAUCUUGCUUCAGCUUUUAUUUUUGAACUAGGACAAAAUAUUCUAAGAGAACUUCCACAUUCACUCAUGGCAAUGUAUGAUAACAAAGUAUGUUGUAUCAUUGGUUUCAGACAUCUGGACGAGAAGAAAAAGAAGUGCAAGGCUGGUAAGGUCGAGACUCAUCUUGAAUUCCCUGGACGUAAAAAGGUUAAAUUUGGUGAAGUUGUCGAAGCUCCACCAAAGUUAUCAUUCCCAAAGAGGUGAUCGACGCUGACAAGCGUGGCCCGGUGGCGCUGUGCUCUUCAACCACUCAGAGGCGGACUUCGCCGUGAAGCCCGGUGGCCACGUCGCACAGAUGAUCGUCCAGGUGAUUUCGACGCCGGAAGUCGCUGAUGUGGAGGACCUCGACGCCACCGUCCGCGAGAGGGAGGAUUCGUGUCCAGCGGCGUCUGAACUCCUAGCCUUGUAGAUACAUCUAGAGAGGUGGUCUGUUUAGGUUGGUGGCCACUAGGGAAGGUACCCACCUUAAAAUGAUGGACGUAUUACCAUUCAUGAGUACUACAUCUAAUUUUUAUUUUUUUUAAUUCCUAAAUUGUUAGUAGUAGCGUGGGUCAAAAGUGAGGGCUACUAGUAGUUAGGUUAGUACUAGCGUGGGUUUUAGGUUAGUAGUAGCGCGGGUGCACACGCGCUACUACUAACUUUUUAGCUGUAGCGUGGGGUAAAAAACGUGCUACUGCUAAAAAUUAGCUGUAGCGCCAUAGCAGUAGCGCGAGAACCCAUGCUACUGGUAUGCAAAAAAACCAUGCUACUGGUAGUGUUUUUCCUAGUAGUGUUAAUCAAAGAUGGUUAAGUUUCCUAACCAUAGACAUGUGUUGUCAUUUGAUGAACGAGAUCACAUCAUUAAAAGAAUGACGUGAUGGACAA